rnacentral:rRNA from 1 species
AUUGAACGCUGGCGGCAGGCCUAACACAUGCAAGUCGAGCGGAUGAAGGGAGCUUGCUCCUGGAUUCAGCGGCGGACGGGUGAGUAAUGCCUAGGAAUCUGCCUGGUAGUGGGGGAUAACGUCCGGAAACGGGCGCUAAUACCGCAUACGUCCUGAGGGAGAAAGUGGGGGAUCUUCGGACCUCACGCUAUCAGAUGAGCCUAGGUCGGAUUAGCUAGUUGGUGGGGUAAAGGCCUACCAAAGCGACGAUCCGUAACUGGUCUGAGAGGAUGAUCAGUCACACUGGAACUGAGACACGGUCCAGACUCCUACGGGAGGCAGCAGUGGGGAAUAUUGGACAAUGGGCGAAAGCCUGAUCCAGCCGUGCCGCGUGUGUGAAGAAGGUCUUCGGAUUGUAAAGCACUUUAAGUUGGGAGGAAGGGCAGUAAGUUAAUACCUUGCUGUUUUGACGUUACCAACAGAAUAAGCACCGGCUAACUUCGUG